GUUCGGAGUGCUGGGAAAAGAUGUCAUGCUUGGAGCCCAUCUGGGAAAAAGGCAUCUGGAGCUGUUCCUUUAGUUUACGGAACUGACUACGGAGGAUGGCAAGUACAGAGGGUGACGGCCCAGAAAAGGGUCAAAGUACUAACAACGGGCUUGGUCGGCUCUGGCCCUCCAGGCCCCCCUCUCCGGGGCUUCGCGUGGCCGGGAAGCCUGAUGUCCCUGGUUCGGCAGUGGGAUCGGGACCAGUUUUCAGAGCAACAUAAGCCAGGGGAAGAACCCGUCGGCCCCCAUCCCCUGCAUACCCCACACAUCCUGUAUGACAGCGGUUCGAAACCUGGGCUUAUGUGUCCGUGGACGUCUCUAAUGCGUCUCCGCGGCCCCGGUUCUGCAUGCGGCGCGCGGGGAGCCCUCCAAAUGAGUGAAUACGGAUGUGGGAGCCUGCACGGUGCCAUCUACGGAACUUACUACGCUCCAAACGCUAAACCUUCCAAUCGUGUAAGGAAUAGAUCGUCAGCUCCAUCAUACCGAAGAAGAAACUGGAACUGAGAGGGAAGACGGCUUAGCCGAGGUCACUCAGCUGGUAAGACGGUGAGCUGAGAUGCGAACUCGGGUCUGGGCCACUUGCAGUUCAGCAGGCUUCCCCAAGCUCCUUCCCCUUCUCCUCCAAACGUGCACCGUCCCGCACCAAGUGUGCAGAGAGGAGGCACUCUGGGCAGCUGAAUCCCUCAACAGCUGGAGCUGGCACCCCGUUGUCCAGAUCCAAGUCAGACACUGCACAAUCCGGACUCCUCUGGCCAGCUGAAGUCCUCCUCUUAGGAGCCUAGGAUCCUGCUGGCUUUGAAAAACUGCUACUCUGCCAAGAGACUGUUGAGGUCAAGUUCGUUCUUUCUUUCUUUUCUUUUCUUUCUUUCUUUCUUUCUUUCUUUCUUUCUUUCUUUCUUUCUUUUUCUUUCUUUUCUUUUUUUUUAGAUUUUUUUUUUUAUUCAUGAGACACACAGAGAGA